rnacentral:rRNA from 1 species
GAUGAACGCUGGCGGCGUGCCUAAUACAUGCAAGUCGAGCGAACGGACGAGAAGCUUGCUUCUCUGAUGUUAGCGGCGGACGGGUGAGUAACACGUGGAUAACCUACCUAUAAGACUGGGAUAACUUCGGGAAACCGGAGCUAAUACCGGAUAAUAUUUUGAACCGCAUGGUUCAAAAGUGAAAGACGGUCUUGCUGUCACUUAUAGAUGGAUCCGCGCUGCAUUAGCUAGUUGGUAAGGUAACGGCUUACCAAGGCAACGAUGCAUAGCCGACCUGAGAGGAUGAUCAGCCACACUGGAACUGAGACACGGUCCAGACUCCUACGGGAGGCAGCAGUAGGGAAUCUUCCGCAAUGGGCGAAAGCCUGACGGAGCAACGCCGCGUGAGUGAUGAAGGUCUUCGGAUCGUAAAACUCUGUUAUUAGGGAAGAACAGAUGUGUAAGUAACUGUGCACAUCUUGACGGUACCUAAUCAGAAAGCCACGGCUAACUACGUG